UAGGGAAUCUUCCGCAAUGGACGCAAGUCUGACGGAGCAACGCCGCGUGAGUGAAGAAGGAUUUCGGUUCGUAAAACUCUGUUGUUAGAGAAGAACAGCGCAUAGAGUAACUGUUAUGCGUGUGACGGUAUCUAACCAGAAAGCCACGGCUAACUACGUGCCAGCAGCCGCGGUAAUACGUAGGUGGCAAGCGUUGUCCGGAUUUAUUGGGCGUAAAGCGAGCGCAGGCGGUCAAUUAAGUCUGAUGUUAAAGCCCCCGGCUCAACCGGGGAGGGUCAUUGGAAACUGGUUGACUUGAGUGCAGAAGAGGAGAGUGGAAUUCCAUGUGUAGCGGUGAAAUGCGUAGAUAUAUGGAGGAACACCAGUGGCGAAGGCGACUCUCUGGUCUGUAACUGACGCUGAGGCUCGAAAGCGUGGGUAGCAAACAGG
rnacentral:rRNA from 1 species